AAAGCGACCACACCGACCACAUAAUCAUCAACGCAUUCAAGAUAAAUCUCAACGAAAUGGAUCGAAAGAUUGUUUUUGCUCUUCUUCUCUUGAUGUCUCUUCAAGUCGUCUUAGGAGUCUCUUUGGAUGACCAACCGGAUUUCGAAACUGAAAUUGAAGAUGAAAUUGCAGCUGCAGUAGAUGAUGGGUGGCUCGGUUACAAACCAACGAAUGCACAGGAUGGAUGGCUCGGCUACAUGCCAAAGAAUGCACAGGACGAAUAAGUGUCAAUAACUACCAGUGAGGACGAGAUUGAAUGUUGCCUCAAUAAACGAGAAUAAAAUAUACUCUGGU